rnacentral:rRNA from 1 species
GAAUAUUGCGCAAUGGGCGAAAGCCUGACGCAGCCACGCCGCGUGGAGGAAGACACCCCUAUGGGGCGUAAACUCCUUUUAUGUGAGAAGAAAAUCCCGGACGCCGGGAUCUGACGGUACCACAUGAAUAAGCACCGGCUAACUCCGUGCCAGCAGCCGCGGUAAUACGGAGGGUGCAAGCGUUGUCCGGAUUCACUGGGUGUAAAGGGUGUGUAGGCGGAACAUGCAAGUCAGAGGUGAAAGCCUGCGGCUUAACCGUAGAAUUGCCUUUGAUACUGCUGUUCUUGAGUACUGGAGAGGCUACUAGAAUUCGUGGUGUAGCGGUGAAAUGCGUAGAUAUCACGAGGAAUACCAGAGGCGUAGGCGGGUAGCUAGACAGAUACUGACGCUGAGGCACGAAAGCGUGGGGAGCAAACAGG